CGCCUGUUUAUCAAAAACAUCUUCUUUAGUGUUUAUUAAAGAUAUAACCUGCUCAAUGAUUUUUAAAUAGCCGCAGUAAUUUAACUGUGCUAAGGUAGCAUAAUAAUUAGUCUUUUAAUUGAGGUCUGGAAUGAAUGGUUGGACGAGAAAUAUACUUUAUUUAAUUGAUUUUAUUGAAUUUUAUUUUUUAGUUAAAAAGCUAAAAUUUUGAAGAGGGACGAUAAGACCCUAUAGAUCUUAAUUUAAUUUAUUUAAGAUAAAAUUUGUUGUAUUUUUUAAUUUAUUUAUUUUAAAUUUGGUUGGGGCGACAAAUAAAUUUUUAAACCUUUUUUUUUUUUUACAAUUAUUUUUGGUUUUUGAUCUUUUUUAUUGAUUAUAAGAUGAAGAUACCUUAGGGAUAACAGCGUUAUUUAGUUGGAUAGUUCAUAUUGAUAGCUAAGAUUGCGACCUCGAUGUUGAAUUAAAAUUUUCUGUGGAGUAGG
rnacentral:rRNA from 1 species